GAGACCCACGCCCACAGUUGCCAGCGUACUCUCCGGARUGACGGGUACACUGUGGGGACCGCCGCUGCUAAAGCGGAGGAAGGAAUGGGCAACGGUAGGUCAGUAUGCCCCGAAUACCCCGGGCUACACGCGAGCUACAAUGGCUGGUACAAUGGGUAUCUACCCCGAAAGGGGAUGGAAAUCUCCUAAAGCCAGUCUCAGUUCGGAUUGGGGGCUGCAACUCGCCCCCAUGAAGCUGGAAUCCGUAGUAAUCGCAUAUCAACAGUAUGCGGUGAAUAC
rnacentral:rRNA from 1 species